CAGUAGCCGCGGGAAUACGUAGGUGGCAAGCGUUGUCCGGAAUUAUUGGGCGUAAAGGGCUCGCAGGCGGUUUCUUAAGUCUGAUGCGAAAGCCCCCGGCUCAACCGGGGAGGGUCAUUGGAAACUGGGAAACUUGAGUGCAGAAGAGGAGAGUGGAAUUCCACGUGUAGCGGUGAAAUGCGUAGAGAUGUGGAGGAACACCAGUGGCGAAGGCGACUCUCUGGUCUGUAACUGACGCUGAGGAGCGGAAGCGUGGGGAGCGAACAGGAUUAGAUACCCGCGUAGUCCCUGUCUCUUAUAC
rnacentral:rRNA from 1 species